UUUGUUUUUUUUUUCCGUUAGAAAAGAAAAGUGUCUGGGGGGCUCAAGUUUGAGUUGAAACCAGGCUCAGGGUCCACCUGUCCUCGCUGAUCCGUGGAUUUCUGUGUGACCAGCUGACACCUAUGGAGCUGUGGCCCUGACUACUACCAGCUUGCUCAUCCCUCUACUCACACAGUCACCCCUCCCCUCACUCUCAUUUAUGCUUCACCUGUGAAUGGUGGUCCUGGGACAGCCACUGCUGGAGCCCGGAUGAGCCUGGGGGCUCCUCCCACUCUGUCCCUCCCUGAGACAGCCCUCGCCACAGCUCCCGAGCCGGCCACCACGUCCCUGCAUACUUGAUCAUCAACUGUGCCACCAGAAGCCACCACAGGUGUCUGGGGGCCCCUUUUCCUUCCCAAGAGAAGCUCUCCAGCCCCACACCUCCACCAGCCAGUUGUGAUCCAGGA